GCAUUAUACCGCGAAACUGCGAAUGGCUCAUUAAAUCAGUUAUCGUUUAUUUGAUAGCACCUUACUACUUGGAUAACCGUGGUAAUUCUAGAGCUAAUACAUGCUGAAAAUCCCGACUUCGGAAGGGAUGUAUUUAUUAGAUUAAAAACCAAUGCCCUCCGGGGCUCACUGGUGAUUCAUGAUAACUUCUCGAAUCGCAUGGCCUUGCGCCGGCGAUGGUUCAUUCAAAUUUCUGCCCUAUCAACUUUCGACUGCUGGGUCUUGGCCAGCAAUGGUGACAACGGGUAACGGAGGGUUAGGGCUCGACCCCGGAGAAGGAGCCUGAGAAACGUGAGUUAUAUAUUUUCCUACAAGACAGCAAGAGAUUUUUACAGUCGACAACAAAGCUAACAUUCCUACUCAUAGGGCUACUACAUCCAAGGAAGGCAGCAGGCGCGCAAAUUACCCAAUCCCGACACGGGGAGGUAGUGACAAUAAAUACUGAUACAGGGCUCUUUUGGGUCUUGUAAUUGGAAUGAGUACAAUUUAAAUCCCUUAACGAGGAACAAUUGGAGGGCAAGUCUGGUGAAAAAUUGCUGGCGCCGGAAAUAGUAAGCCCGUUGAAAUUACUAGUCGAGCAUUCGCCAUUGGCGGGAGAAUGCCGGCGAGACAACCCGGGCCGGGGGAGGUUACGGAGCUCUAGCUCUAUGCCAACCCCGGGCAGAGCCGACGGUCUAGGUGAUCUCGGCCUGUUUAGAGCGCGGAAGGGUGUCGGUCCUGUAUACACAUUUUGGGCGUGCAAGCGUCCCGAUGUCAGGGCUUAGGGACGUGCCAACCCCCUGCGAAAGCGGGGCAUUGCCUCAAAGUGCCCGCCGCACGAUGAGACGAUGGGAUAUAUCUCUC
rnacentral:rRNA from 1 species